GCUGGCGGCAGGCCUUAACACAUGCAAGUCGAGCGGAAACGAGUUAUCUGAACCUUCGGGGAACGAUAACGGCGUCGAGCGGCGGACGGGUGAGUAAUGCCUGGGAAAUUGCCCUGAUGUGGGGGAUAACUAUUGGAAACGAUAGCUAAUACCGCAUAACGUCUACGGACCAAAGAGGGGGACCUUCGGGCCUCUCGCUUCAGGAUAUGCCCAGGUGGGAUUAGCUAGUUGGUGAGGUAAUGGCUCACCAAGGCGACGAUCCCUAGCUGGUCUGAGAGGAUGAUCAGCCACACUGGAACUGAGACACGGUCCAGACUCCUACGGGAGGCAGCAGUGGGGAAUAUUGCACAAUGGGCGCAAGCCUGAUGCAGCCAUGCCGCGUGUAUGAAGAAGCCUUCGGGUUGUAAAGUACUUUCAGUCGUGAGGAAGGC
rnacentral:rRNA from 1 species